AUAAAAGCUUUCUAGGGUUCCGUAACUAUAUAGUUAGUCAGGUCCGAGAGAAAGCGACAUGUUAUUGCAUGUUACACGGAAGGAUAAAAGCCUGGGAGAU
rnacentral:sRNA from 1 species